CUGCCCCUGUCAGGGGGACAACCCGCCGAAAGGCGGGCUAAACCCGCGUACAUGCCACCGGGGCAUCCCGGAGGCAGGAAAGGCUUCGGCCGGACAGGGAUGGGCAUGCGGCGCAUUAGGCAGUAGGCGGGGUAACGGCCCACCUAACCGACGAUGCGUAGGGGUUCUGAGAGGAAGGUCCCCCACACUGGUACUGAGACACGGACCAGACUCCUACGGGAGGCAGCAGUGAGGAAUAUUGGUCAAUGGUCGGGAGACUGAACCAGCCAAGCCGCGUGAGGGAGGAAGGUACAGAGUAUCGUAAACCUCUUUUGUCAGGGAACAAAGACUGGGACGCGUCCCCGGAUGAGUGUACCUGAGGAAAAAGCAUCGGCUAACUCCGUGCCAGCAGCCGCGGUAAUACGGAGGAUGCGAGCGUUAUCCGGAUUUAUUGGGUUUAAAGGGUGCGCAGGCGGUCUGUUAAGUCAGCGGUCAAAGCCCGGGGCUCAACCCCGGCCCGCCGUUGAAACUGGCAGUCUCGAGUUGGAGAGAAGUAUGCGGAAUGCGCGGUGUAGCGGUGAAAUGCAUAGAUAUCGCGCAGAACUCCGAUUGCGAAGGCAGCAUGCCGGCUCCACACUGACGCUGAGGCACGAAAGCGUGGGUAUCGAACAGGAUUAGAUACCCUGGUAGUCCACGCAGUAAAC
rnacentral:rRNA from 1 species